CCCUUAGAUGUUCUGGGCCGCACGCGCGCUACACUGAUGCAUUCAACGAGUCUAAAACCUGCUCUGAUAGGGGUGGGUAAUCUUUUGAAUGUGCAUCGUGAUUGGGAUAGAUGAUUGCAAUUUUUCAUCUUCAACGAGGAAUGCCUAGUAAACGCAAGUCAUCAGCUUGCAUUGAUUACGUCCCUGCCCUUUGUACACACCGCCCGUCGCUCCUACCGAUUGAAUGGCUUAGUGAGGCCUCAGGAUCCGCGCUUAAUGUGUGGAGAAUUUGGACAAACUACGUCAUUUAGAGGAAGUAAAAGUCGUAACA
rnacentral:rRNA from 1 species